rnacentral:rRNA from 1 species
UGGGGAAUCUUGCGCAAUGGGCGAAAGCCUGACGCAGCAACGCCGCGUGCGGGAUGACGGCCUUCGUGGUUGUAAACCGCUUUCAGCAGGGACGAAACUGACGGUACCUGCAGAAGAAGCCCCGGCUAACUACGUGCCAGCAGCCGCGGUAAUACGUAGGGGGCGAGCGUUGUCCGGAUUCAUUGGGCGUAAAGAGCUCGUAGGCGGUUCAGUAAGUCGGGUGUGAAAGCUCCGAGCUCAACUCGGAGAGGCCACCCGAUACUGCUGUGACUUGAGUCCAGUAGAGGAGCGUGGAACUCCUGGUGUAGCGGUGAAAUGCGCAGAUAUCAGGAAGAACACCGGUAGCGAAGGCGGCGCUCUGGGCUGGAACUGACGCUGAGGAGCGAAAGCGUGGGUAGCAAACAGG